rnacentral:piRNA from 1 species
UCAGUCUCAUCUGCAAAGAGGU